CCCUGGGAUAGCUCAGCCACUAGAACAUGAAACUCCUAAUCUCAGGAUUGUGGGUUUGAGUCCCACGUUGGGCA